AUGUCCCUUUCUUGAGGGAGAGAGGAAAGUCUUCAUUUUUUAUACCACCUGAGGGUAAGUUAGAGGUUUGCUGUGUUAACAGAAUUUGUGGGAUGACAGGAAGAACAAAUUCACCAAGUAGGCAGAGGCUAUUGCAAAAGCUGUGUGCUUGAUGAAGGAGGUAUUUCGAAAAAGAAGAGAUGUUUUAGUUAAUUUAACACAUGUUCUUUCAUCAAGGAACUGCCUGUCAAGUUUAAUUUGAAAUGAAACUAAUUGUUAGUCUGACAGCUUGAUGUGCUGGGAAACUCAAUACAUGGGUACCAAAAUUGUUUUCGGCUGUAUUAUCUAACUGUUGUUUGACUUAAUGAGAAAGGAAGAGCUGAAACAUGCAUGUUUUCAGGAAUUAGGGCCUAUAAAUUGCACUUCUGUAAAAACAAUUUGGAAUUAACAGGACAACAAAGUCAUUUUCUCUGAUCAAAUCAAAGACUGAAAAGAACCGUUUGGCAAUUGGCAUUGGUAAGCUUGGAACCAGUUGUAUGAGUAAUCAGUUUUAUUGUGAUCGCUUCAUACUAGUUAGUGCAAUUAGGCGUUACCUUUUAGGCAGUCAUGGAAUGCACUUGGUUCUCUCCAAAAUGAAAAGAAGCUUGCGAAACAGUUCUGCAAGACCAACACUGAAGUUAGAAAUACAAUAUUUUCUCAGGAAAGUAAAACUUCAGGCACCAACCCGGAUUAAGUGCUGUCUUUGAAGACAGCUGUCUUUACCUUUACCACCAGCUUCUUAUCUUUGCUUUGUUCCACAAGUUACUUGUUUUUUCUGAAGAAGUAAUGUACCUUGAUCAGUUCUUGCCUUGUGAUAGUGGCCAGAACUGCAUAAUAGUACCAGAAAGAUUUUAGCACAACUUGUCAAGUUAAAUUGACAUUUAAAUAAAUAUAUGUAGGCAUUUGUUUCUUCCUGAAGAAUUAUUUUUUCUUCUUCUUUGCAAUCUGCUAAGUUUUAAGUUUAGGAGUGAUACUGGUUAUUGGCAGCAGAGAAAUUUGCUGCUUCCUGAAUUUCCACUUUGAUUCUGCAACAAGAUGUAAAUCAGCAGAGGAUCCUAGCUGUAGAACUACGCAGGGCCUAAUGUCUCCAAGCAGCAGUUUAUCAGAGCUAGUUAAUAAGGAGAAGAAUUAAAGGUCCUGAGGGGAUGAGUGUCUUUAUAGGACGAAAGCAAGAUCCAGGGCACUUGGAAGAAGAGAUUGUAAUUGUCUGAAAAUAUAAUGGAAAGGUGAAGCUGUGCAAGUAUGAGACCUGAACUGUACUCGAUAGUGCAGAGGGCCCACUAGUGAGUGAGAAGCCUGCUGAAAUUUAUAUGGAGCCAGGUGGGAAAGGGGAAGGGAAGAAGGAUACCGAAGUCAAUAUUCGAAGUGGAAUGGCAGAAGAGAUUAAACUUGAGGAACAAAAAGGAGCGCAGAAAAGCGUAUUUGCUUCUAAUUUUGCUUGUACUUUGUGGCCAUGAAUUAGAUGCAAAGUACUAGCAGUGUGCUUACUUCAUGCAGUGCUGGCCAGUGCAGAGUAUGACAGCUCAUUGCUGCUAUCAUUUACCCUUCUGGCUGAAGUGAGAAAUACUUACAGUGAACAUAAGAAUCUACAGAUGUUCAUUGUUGUGACGGUCAGUGUGGUGAUGUGUGUUAAAAUCUGUUCUCAGAUUUCUCCAGUUUGCUUUUUAAAAGCAAACUUGGAGAAAACUUCGCCUAAUGCAGACUUAACAUCUCAUGACCUGUAUGCAACCCUCCAACCUUGUAAAAGUGAUCUUCAGAGGAUCAAAAGCUAUCCUCCUUUUACUCACCCUGCUGCUGCAAGAGGGAUUUCAGGUAGCCUGAAUAAUAUAAAUCUGUUUAACCUUCAGUGAGCUCUGGUUUACCAAUUCUUAUAUAAAACAGCAGGAGCUGUGGAAGACCUGUCUAUUUUUGCAGUCCAUUGUUAAAUGGAAGUGUAAGUUGUGUUUUGGAGCUGAUUACAGGUGUAUGCUGACAGCAAAGGCAAUGGCGAGACUUCAAAAAAUCUCUCAACUGCGGAUUGCCAAGCUGGAGGGGAACAGAUGAAGGCAAAUAGCUGUUGAUGAGAUAAAUAGCAGGGAACUGAUUACAGUAUGCUUUCAUUAGCUAUUAGCAGCUUUCUUAAAGGUUUGUUGUUGAUCACUGGAACCAAAUUGCCUGGUGUAGAUUGUUUUAGGGUACUAUGCUUCUAAGUUUCUUGUAAACUACAGUGGAUUACUAACACAGUUCAGGCUCUGGAUUAUAGGUUAAUUCAGAUUCAAGAGGACCUUGAGUCUGGCCUCAAAUCAGGGUCAGCUAUGAAAUCAAACCAGGAUACUCAGGGUUUUAUCCAGCAUGGUCCUGAAAAAAUCUCCAAAGAUGGAGCCCACAGAAUCUCCCUGAGCAACCUGUUCCACUGCUCGACUGUCCUCAGAAUAUUGCAGUCUGCUAAAAUUGCAGGAAGUCCCAUUUGACCUAUGAAGCUUUGAGGAAUCUUGUACAGGGUGAACUGUAUUAACUCAACCUGAGUACAUGCCUGGUAGACACUUGCAAGCACAAAUAUUUUCAAAGCAUAAUUUACAAGCACAGAUGGAAUAUCUCAUUAGACCAUUGGAAAUUUAGUUAAGAUUUUGGGCUCAUGGGCUUUUUUUAUAUUUCAAAUAUGAAGACUUCUGUUUCACACCUGAAAUUGGCUACGCAUCUUUCCUUGUCCAUGUUCUUAUGCCAUUGUGAGAUGAAUGCUAUCUGCUGUCACCUCAAGGACCCCUUGUAUUUUUUUGCCACCUCUUUCACAAAUGCUGGAGGGAACAUUCCUGACAAGGAAGCAUCAGUUGAGCCUCUCCUCUAAGCUGUAGUAAUGCUACUGCUUCUUAAAGUUCCAGUUUUAUUGUGGCAGAACAACUUACCUUCCCAUUGAAGCUAGUUAUUCAAACAGCUGGGCUAUAUCCCCACCUUUUUUUUUUCUACUGUGAGAAGAAUUCUACCUGCAGAGGGUAAGCAGCCUCUUUGCUCUGUGGGAAGUCAAGUCCCAGUGGGAACUGUCUGAGUUCUGCUGUCAGUCAUACAUGAAUAUUUCAAGAAGCAUCAGGUUGAAUUUUUUUAAAAGUUGAGUAGUAAUAUGCUCUGACUUCUGUAUAGCUAGAGGUGUUCCAGUGAAUCACAUUAUGUGAAUCCAACUCUUCUGAAGUCACCUCAUGUGACUUCUACUGACCACCUUUUUUUAACCUUCCCUUACUUGAUAAAUACAAAUUAUUAUCUAUUUCUGGAAAACAAUCCUUAUCUGAUCUAUAUGGUGUUCUUAAACUACCUCUUUUUUUUUUC